rnacentral:rRNA from 1 species
UACGUAGGUGGCAAGCGUUGUUCGGAAUUAUUGGGCGUAAAGGGCGCGUAGGCGGUUCGUACAGUCAGACGUGAAAUUCCUGGGCUCAACCUGGGGGCUGCGUUUGAUACGUGCGGACUUGAGUGCGGAAGAGGGUCGUGGAAUUCCCAGUGUAGAGGUGAAAUUCGUAGAUAUUGGGAAGAACACCGGUGGCGAAGGCGGCGACCUGGUCCGAUACUGACGCUGAGGCGCGAAAGCGUGGGGAGCAAACAGG